UCCGUGCAUGCUUUAACUGCAACUUUGGUACAUGGUGCAAGCUCCAUUUAAAGCCUAUCUCCAUCCCACCAACCGUGACCUCUCACAGCUCCACCUAAUCCCCUCUCUCUCUCUUGCUCAUAAACACGACCGUGGGGGGAAAGGAGCACAGCAAGGCAACGGAGAAUGGGAGGAAGUGCGAUGCUAUUCGCCGGUGUGCUGCCUCUUCUUCUAUUUAGCAUGGGGAGCAGUGGUGGCCUGCAGCAGUGGGCGGCGGAGGCGGUGGCCGGCAGCCGACGCUCCUCUCUAGUUCGACAGCCGGCGGUGGCCCGUAACCGACGCUCAUUCUCUCUACCUAGCUGGCGGCGGAGGCGGUGGCCGCAGCCGAUGCACAUUCUCUCAGAUUUUCUGCCUUCCAUUUGAUCUCUUCGUGAAGGCAACUUCCUCUAUUGUGAUUGGAGUACAUCAUUUUUGCACGGCAGCCGGAGAGGACAGGUUGGUGAAAUGGUUUGUGAAAGGAGAGCUGCCGGGAGGAUAGGUUGGUGAGAGACGAGUUAAUGUGAAUGCAUGUUGUCAGGAUAUGAUGGAAAUACGGAUCAUAUACCUGACUGAAAUACGUAUGUUGUCAGACGCGUGUUGCUACCUGAUUGGGUGGUUUUCAUCCUCGCGCGUUGCCAGGUUCCGUUCGCUAUUUUCGGGGUAUCAUGCUUAUUUUAUCAA